CGGGGCGUAGCUCAGCCUGGUUUAGAGCGCUGCGUUCGGGACGCAGAGGUCGGAAGUUCAAAUCUUCUCGCCCCGA
rnacentral:tRNA from 1 species